rnacentral:rRNA from 1 species
AACGAACGCUGGCGGCAUGCCUUACACAUGCAAGUCGAACGGCAGCGCGGGGCAACCUGGCGGCGAGUGGCGAACGGGUGAGUAAUAUAUCGGAACGUGCCCUGGAGUGGGGGAUAACGUAGCGAAAGUUACGCUAAUACCGCAUACGAUCCAAGGAUGAAAGCAGGGGACCUUCGGGCCUUGUGCUCCUGGAGCGGCCGAUAUCUGAUUAGCUAGUUGGUGGGGUAAAAGCCUACCAAGGCGACGAUCAGUAGCUGGUCUGAGAGGACGACCAGCCACACUGGAACUGAGACACGGUCCAGACUCCUACGGGAGGCAGCAGUGGGGAAUUUUGGACAAUGGGGGGCAACCCUGAUCCAGCAAUGCCGCGUGUGUGAAGAAGGCCUUCGGGUUGUAAGUCGACUUUGUUCAGGAACGAAACGGUUAGAGGUU